rnacentral:rRNA from 1 species
CCAGACUCCUACGGGAGGCAGCAGUGAGGAAUAUUGGUCAAUGGUCGGGAGACUGAACCAGCCAAGCCGCGUGAGGGAUGAAGGUACAGAGUAUCGUAAACCUCUUUUGUCAGGGAACAAAGGCGGGGACGUGUCCCCGGAUGAGUGUACCUGAAGAAAAAGCAUCGGCUAACUCCGUGCCAGCAGCCGCGGUAAUACGGAGGAUGCGAGCGUUAUCCGGAUUUAUUGGGUUUAAAGGGUGCGUAGGCGGGCUGUUAAGUCAGCGGUCAAAUGUCGGGGCUCAACCCCGGCCUGCCGUUGAAACUGACGGUCUUGAGUGGGCGAGAAGUAUGCGGAAUGCGUGGUGUAGCGGUGAAAUGCAUAGAUAUCACGCAGAACUCCGAUUGCGAAGGCAGUAUACCGGCGCCCAACUGACGCUGAAGCACGAAAGCGUGGGUAUCGAACAGGAUUAGAUACCCCCGUA